UUUGUUUCUUCUUAGGACAUGGCAACUGUUACCAUGGUUUUCCCAGAGAUGUUUCUGAGGUGCAAUCCCCGGGUCCAUGUGUGUGAAGAUUUCAGGCUCAGAAACUGCUGGUUUGAUUACAGUCAUGGGCACUAAAUUCAUGAAGCUUACAGAUAAAAGUCAGCGUGGUAAGGGGAUAAAGUUUCAGAAAGAAGGAGGUAGGUGGCAGAGAAAGACUGCAGCUUGAGAAAGUGAGUGGCUAGAUGCAAGGAAACAAGACUGCCAGAUUCUUAGCUGAGCAUAAACAGGUGGCAUUACUGUGGGAGGUGCUGCUCCACAGCACAAGGGUGCCCUGCAGGGCAGCUGGUAGCAGAAGAAGCAGGGAGUGGUUUCCAGAGAAAUCAGAAAUGCACAAGAAAAAGCUGUUGGGAAAUGUCUGCCAUCAGCUCCACACUUGAGAGGAAGAACAGGAGCCCCAGGAAUCUCCUUCCUUUCCCGCAUGCCCUGUGCUGCGUUCCAGCCUCCUGCACACCCGAGGACAGAAGCAUGUCUUUCAGUAUGCUGUGUCUUUCCAACAUGUGCGUGCCAAGCCAUACUCCAGUCUCUCGCCUUCCAGCACCAUGCAAACUUCACAGUCCUCACAUUCCCGCAGCACUGGACACCCCGCUCUUACCUCUUACAGCACAGCUUGUUCCAGGGAAAACCUAGAGCAGAUUAAGGGGUACUGUUCUCCUUUAUAAAUGAACAUUCCCUCAUGCUCUUCACCAGAGAUUCAGAAGUUGGCCACACAUCUUUUUUCAUGUUACAUUUGUGUGUUACCCUGACAGUGUGUCACCCCAUAAAAAUAGGGCAGCGUUCAUGUGUUCAGCACUAUUCAGUUUGCCCUAUCCUCUGACAUCUCCUGAAGCUCUCUGAAAAAUGCACACUUUUCCUUCAUUCCCAGCAGCAUCCUAAGAGACUGCCACAUGACACUAUUCUGUGCUUCUGUUAUUUGAGAAAAGCAAGAUGACUCCCACUCCAUGAAUUGUAUCAGUGUUAAUCUCCUAAAUCAGUGAUGCUGCCUCACGGCUUUUACAUAGAUGAGAGAAACCUGGCACAAGGGUAAAAUAAACUUUCCAAAGGGUAUUCAGGGCAUCCUGAGACUGCAUGUUUUCGUCCAAGUAGUUAUAUGUGCUUUGGUCAGAACCAUGCUUUCUUCUGCAUUUAGGCAAUUUCAUGGUGCUGAAUUGACUCUAGAUUAAAAAAGCAGUGAGGAGAAAAAAAAGUAUGUUAUCAUUAAUUUGCAGAAAGGCAACUAUUUCUAAGACAACCCACCUUUUUCUUCAGCAGUGCUUCUUUGUAUUCACCAACCAUUUUUCUGUACUCAAUAUAUAAAUCAGUUCUAAAUUUCUCUCCCAAUACAGAGUGAAUUCUUUUGCUUUUCAGA